rnacentral:rRNA from 1 species
UACGUAGGGUGCAAGCGUUGUCCGGAAUUAUUGGGCGUAAAGAGCUCGUAGGCGGCUUGUCGCGUCGGCUGUGAAAACUCGGGGCUCAACCCCGAGCCUGCAGUCGAUACGGGCAGGCUAGAGUCCGGCAGGGGAGACUGGAAUUCCUGGUGUAGCGGUGAAAUGCGCAGAUAUCAGGAGGAACACCGGUGGCGAAGGCGGGUCUCUGGGCCGAUACUGACGCUGAGGAGCGAAAGCGUGGGGAGCGAACAGG